rnacentral:rRNA from 1 species
GAAUCUUGCGCAAUGGCCGAAAGGCUGACGCAGCGACGCCGCGUGCGGGAGGAAGCCCUUCGGGGUGUAAACCGCUGUCAGAGGGGGCGAAUGCCAGGGGGAGGGAAUGCCCUACUGGAGGGACGGUACCCUCAGAGGAAGCACCGGCUAACUCCGUGCCAGCAGCCGCGGUAAUACGGAGGGUGCGAGCGUUGUUCGGAAUUAUUGGGCGUAAAGCGCGCGUAGGCGGCCCGUUAAGUCUCAAGGUGAAACGCCGGGGCUCAACCCCGAAGCGAGCCGGGGAUACUGGGGGGCUGGAGACAGGCAGAGGCCAGCGGAAUUCCGGGUGUAGCGGUGGAAUGCGUAGAGAUCCGGAAGAACACCGGAGGCGAAGGCGGCUGGCUGGGCCUGAUCUGACGCUGAGGUGCGAAAGCGUGGGGAGCGAACAG